rnacentral:rRNA from 1 species
AACGCUGGCGGCGCGCUUAACAUAUGCAAGUCGAGCGAGAACCAGGGCUUCGGCCCUGGGGACAGCGGCGAACGGGUGAGUAACACGUGGGUAAUCUGCCCUCGGUUCCGGAAUAGCCCGGGGAAACCCGGAUUAAUGCCGGAUAGCCUCUCGAGCUCUCGGGCUCGUGAGAAAAGGUAGCUUCGGCCUCCGACCGAGGAUGAGCCCGCGGCGGAUUAGCUUGUUGGUGGGGUAACGGCCCACCAAGGCGACGAUCCGUAGCUGGUCUGAGAGGACGAUCAGCCACACUGGGACUGAGACACGGCCCAGACUCCUACGGGAGGCAGCAGUGGGGAAUCUUGCGCAAUGGGCGGAAGCCUGACGCAGCGACGCCGCGUGGGGGAAGAAGGCCUUCGGGUUGUAAACCUCUUUCAGGAGGGACGAAGCCACUCGGGUGAGUAGCCCAGAGGGUGACGGUACCUCCAGAAGAAGCCCCGGCUAACUUCGUGCCAGCCGCCGCCGUAA